UGGGGGAUUUUGGACAAUGGGCGAAAGCCUGAUCCAGCAAUGCCGCGUGUGUGAAGAAGGCCUUCGGGUUGUAAAGCACUUUUGUCCGGAAAGAAAUCCUUGGCUCUAAUACAGUCGGGGGAUGACGGUACCGGAAGAAUAAGCACCGGCUAACUACGUGCCAGCAGCCGCGGUAAUACGUAGGGUGCAAGCGUUAAUCGGAAUUACUGGGCGUAAAGCGUGCGCAGGCGGUUUGCUAAGACCGAUGUGAAAUCCCGGGCUCAACCUGGGAACUGCAUUGGUGACUGGCAGGCUAGAGUAUGGCAGAGGGGGGUAGAAUUCCACGUGUAGCAGUGAAAUGCGUAGAGAUGUGGAGGAAUACCGAUGGCGAAGGCAGCCCCCUGGGCCAAUACUGACGCUCAUGCACGAAAGCGUGGGGAGCAAACAGGAUUAGAUACCCUGGUAGUCCACGCCCUAAACGAUGUCAACUAGUUGUUGGGGAUUCAUUCCUUAGUAACGUAGCUAACGCGUGAAGUUGACCGCCUGGGGAGUACGGUCGCAAGAUUAAAACUCAAAGGAAUUGACGGGGUCAUAGCUG
rnacentral:rRNA from 1 species